CGGCGCACGGGUGCGUAACGCGUAUGCAAUCUACCUUUUACAGAGGGAUAGCCCAGAGAAAUUUGGAUUAAUACCUCAUAGUAUGUGAGAAUCGCAUGGUUUUCACAUUAAAGUUCCAACGGUAUAAGAUGAGCAUGCGUCCCAUUAGUUAGUUGGUAAGGUAACGGCUUACCAAGACAGCGAUGGGUAGGGGCCCUGAGAGGGGGAUCCCCCACACUGGUACUGAGACACGGACCAGACUCC
rnacentral:rRNA from 1 species